rnacentral:rRNA from 1 species
UACGUAGGUGGCAAGCGUUGUCCGGAUUUACUGGGCGUAAAGGAUGCGUAGGCGGACAUUUAAGUCAGAUGUGAAAUACCCGAGCUUAACUUGGGUGCUGCAUUUGAAACUGGGUGUCUAGAGUGCAGGAGAGGUAAGUGGAAUUCCUAGUGUAGCGGUGAAAUGCGUAGAGAUUAGGAAGAACACCAGUGGCGAAGGCGGCUCUCUGGACGGUGACUGACGCUGAGACGCGAAAGCGUGGGGAGCAAACAGG